rnacentral:rRNA from 1 species
CCUACGGGAGACAGCAGUGAGGAAUAUUGGUCAAUGGCCGGGAGGCUGAACCAGCCAAGUCGCGUGAGGGAAGACGGCCCUACGGGUUGUAAACCUCUUUUGUCAGGGAGCAAGGUGCAGGUCGGGACCUGCUGUGAGAGUACCUGAAGAAAAUGCAUCGGCUAACUCCGUGCCAGCCGCCGCGGUAAUACGGAGGAUGCGAGGGUUAUCCGGAUUUAUGGGGGUAAACGGGUGCGUAGGCGGACUGUUAAGUCAGCGGUAAAAGCCCGGGGCUCAACUCCGGCGAGCCGUUGAAACUGGCUGACUUGAGAAGUCGAGAGGAAUGCAGAAUUCGCGGUGUAGCGGUGAAAUGCUUAGAUAUUGCGCAGAACUCCGAUUGCGAAGGCAGCAUACCGGCGGCGAUCUGACGCUGAGGCGCGAAAGCGUGGGUAUCGAACAGGAUUAGAUACCCGUGUAGUC